rnacentral:rRNA from 1 species
UACGUAGGGGGCAAGCGUUGUCCGGAUUUAUUGGGCGUAAAGAGCGUGUAGGCGGCCAGACAGGUCCGUUGUGAAAACUAGAGGCUUAACCUCUAGACGUCGAUGGAAACCGUCUGGCUAGAGUCCGGAAGAGGAGAAUGGAAUUCCUGGUGUAGCGGUGAAAUGCGCAGAUAUCAGGAAGAACACCCGUGGCGAAAGCGGCUCUCUGGAACGGUACUGACGCUGAGACGCGAAAGCGUGGGGAGCGAACAGG